rnacentral:misc_RNA from 1 species
UCGUCCUCUGUCAUGUCUGGCCGCAGAACGGCCAUGGUCUCGUACUGGCGCAGCCCCGGGGGACACUGUGGCUCCUCCUUCUCCGCCACAGCGACGGCGGAGGCGGCGGAUGGGCCGUCGCUGUCCUCGUCCCUUCCGCCCUCGAAGAACGAGCCAGAGAAGUCGAGGGUGGCGCGCACGGAGAGCGGACGCGCGCGGGGACGAGCGGCGGCGGAGGGACGGAGGGAGGUGACGGGGAGAGAGAGGGAGCGGGAGAAGGAGAAGCGGGCGGUGGGGGAGAGGAUGAGGG